rnacentral:lncRNA from 1 species
GCUGCAGGCAAGGGGCCGGGUAGAACCAAGGGAGGCAGGAGGGCAGCUGAGCUGGUGGCAAAGCCAUUGGAGCAGGUGGGGUUGAUUACCUGAGCAGGAGCUAUAUAAUGGCUGGGGAGGGGGUGGUUUAGUUCAGUCCAGCUUUGAUUUUGCUCUGAAUGUGAGGGGUCUGUGUUGGUUUCCAGAUAGUUAUGAAGAAGGAAAAUGAGAAGCCCUUCUGUUGGGUGACAUGGAAUGCAUCUCAGGUUACCAGAAUAAAUGAGUGUGGUGUUGCUGCCCUGGCAGAAGCUCAACUGGCACUGAGCCACUGCCAUUUGAGCCAAUGGUGGAACCUGCAGAAAUGUUGGGAGGUCAAAGGGAAGGACCUGGGGAAUCAAAGUUGGAGCUGGGGAGGGAGCAGGACCACAGGAGCAGAGGGGAAAAGGAACAAAAAUUUGCAUUCAGUAGCUGUUAGUAAGCAGGCUGUUACUGAGAACUUCUCCUGCUACUCUUCUAAGUGGAAUUUCUUACUUCCUGCAAGACUUGUUUUCCGAAGAUGAAUAAUUAGAGCCAAAAAAUGCUCUACCACAGAAUUUCAAAGUCAAGGCAUUCUACAAUUGUGGAGCUGAUCUGGCUGUGUUUAAAUAUAUGAACUCUACAGCUGUGUUUAUAGCUUUUUGGUUUUUAAAGUUCUCCAACCAGAAAAUCAGUGUCUCCUCCAACAAAAACUGCAGUCAUCUUUGUAAUAUUGUUUCUAAAUAAUAUGUCUGUGAGGUGAUAAACAUCUAUGUUAAGACCAAUACUUUGAAUAUUACAUUUAUGUUCUUCAAGAAUAUUUUUGAUUGUUUUAAGAAUGUUUGAAAUAUGUACAAGUGGCAGUAUUCCACUACAGCAAUGUAUGACGCUUGUCAAACUCACCAAAAUUGUCAAACUCACCAAAACAAUCCUCAGAAAAAAUGGUGUCCUGAUAUGAGUUACUUUCAUUUCUAAACUUGUACAGCCUUGAAAAUAGGAAUUGCAUAUUGAAAAAGAAUAGGAAUUGCAUAUUGAAAAAGACAAGUGAUUCAUGUAGCUAAAUGUAUUGUUAGUGGACAAUGCGAAAUGAUUAAUGUUAAAUUUAAAAUAUUAAUCCUCACUUUCUGCUGAAUUAAUAUCCCUAUGUAAGGGGAAGAAACUUAUAUUGCGAACUCCCAGUAUGGUGAACUUUAACUUUUUCCUGCUACAGUUACUCUUAGCUCUGCUAUAAUAACUUUGGUGUUCUAUAUUCAAGAUGUACCUUACAAUGAAGCAUGUCAAAAAAAAUAAAUGUAGUGAAUUAAUACCUGCUUUUUGGAUU